AAUACUUCCUGGCCAAAAUAUUAAUUUUUGCUGAGUGAGUAAAUUGUGUAUAGCCUAGGGUUAUGUAGCGUGAUGUAAGACCAAACCAUACGUUUUACAAAACACUGGGAUUUACGUUUUUGACCAGUACAGUAAAUGUCAGAUAGAACAUUGCUUACUUCGUUAACAAAAAAUAAUUUUUGAAGGCUUCUGUGCGCAGGGUGCCGGUUAGCUGGGCCGUUCUCUGCCGUGAAUAGAGACUACUGCAGGCAUCCGGGAGUGAUACUGGUGAAAGGAGAAUUUCUUCCCGUUGUUCGGCCACGCUCCUACACUCUGGAAGCACAUGCAGCGGCGCUUCUUCAUAUUCCAUGUAUCCCCUGCAUAUAGAACUGUCUGCAUUCCUAUGGUACUAUCUUCCUUCUCCUAGUGUGUCUAUCUUUAAUUAUGGCAACUUCAACGAGAUUUAAACGUAUGGCAUUACCAAUUUUGCGAAAACUCCUGCGAGAACGGCGUGAUGUUGGACCAAAUUUUUCCAGUAACCAACUUGUGGCUGAGGACUCCUCUGUCAACAAUAUAGGACAAGGAUUUAUUUAUUCAAGAUAGUAAACACUAGGUUGACAUGGAUCGACAAACAGAAUAUCAGUGUUAUAUCUUCAAAUAUUUCUUCAAAAUAAAAUAACAAUAUAACCUCAAAUACCCUAAAUAAAUAUGACCAUGCUUUA